GUGUCACUAAGGGAUUUAGCUCCCCUUAUUUCCCAGGGUCAUACAUCACAUGUUUGCAAUCCUUGCUCCAGGUACCAUACUUCUGUUCCAGUCACAGAACUCUUGAUUCUCAUAGCCUCAUGGUAUCUUUCUCCUUUGAAUAGCUAACACUUUUAGGGAAAUAAAUCCCUUUUAAGAUUAGCCCACCAAUCAAUCCUCCUUUUUUGUUAACUCCUUUUGGGAUUAUUCUGCUCAACUCCUCUGUGGAUUUAGGCUGCCAAUGAAUGGCAUACUCCUGCCUCAGGGAGUAUUCCCUUUCUCCUGGUUAAUUGUGAGUUCCACUAGGGAACUUGUCUUUUUCAAUGUUAAUUAUUGAAGACUUUUUUAUUUGGGGAAAUAUAUUUUCUUUUUCCUUGCUAAUUAUAUUCUCUCCCAAAUCUUUUUAUUACCUCUUCAUUUUGUCCAUAAUCUCUUAUAAAUAGAAGUACUUUUUGGCAAAGAGAAGGCCUUACACUCAUUGUGCCUUACACCUCAUAUUUCUAACUAGCACUUGCUACACUGGUAUUAUCAAUAGUCCUUAAGAUUUGAGACAAUGGCUACUGCCACAAGACCCAGAAAUACCUAUAUUGUGCCAGGAAAUGCUAACUGUGAAAACUAUCUCAAGAUCUAAGAAUUCAUAAUACAUAUUGUGGACAUUCAUAAUACAAGUCAUAAGACAAUCAUUGUGGACAACCCCUUUCAUGCAUAUAAGUGGCCCCAGUCUUAGCAGCAUUAAACCCUUUCUGCGGGGGAAGGGGGGUUUUCUGUUUGCAAACACCAUUUUCUCACUCUGAAAUAAAUUAAACUUGUGUCCUGAGUCUGCUGUUUCGUCUUACUGGGUUGUCCUACUUCAGCCACCCAUACGUUAGAGGCUGGAUGACGUGUCCAAACUGAUGCACUUGUUCAGAGUCUUCACCAUGUUGGUCACCAGAUAAUAUUUGCCUUUAUCCAGGGCCAAGUAACCGAAUCCGGUCUUUUUUUUUUUUUUUUAAUUUUCCCCAGUUACACAUAAAAACACAUGUUUUUCCUGGUUAUACAUGUACAUUGAUUAAAUUUUUUUUACAUAUUUCCUUAUGAAUCAUAUUGAGACAGAAAAAAUCAGAACCAAAGGGUAAGACUAGGAGAGGAAAAAUAAAAACGAAAAUAAAAGAGAAUCUUUGGAGAAGGGAGGAAAGUCUGACAGGCAAACUAUCCGUUCAUCUGAAUCAUUUCUUGUUUAGAAGGCGGCCUCGCGAGGCCCAUCAAGUUUCUCCAGAAGUCCCAGGACCCCUGUGGAGGGGUGGAGGACGCGACCCCUGCCCAGGGAAAGCGAACUCGGGAGGAGGCGUCUCUGACCCCAAACCCUUUUACCCACCUCCUGAGCUUGGCGCGUUUUUUGGUUGUUCUUGUAGCACAGGAGUGUUCAUUUCAGGGUGUUAAAAAGAAACGAUAACUAGGAAAAACAACAAGGGUUUAUUGCGAUCGUUAUUGCCACCGUUAUUACACAAACGACUUAGAGGAUUCGUUAAUAGAUAAACCCGCACACGAGCACUUCCGCAGGUAACGCGCCUGCGCAUUCACCCAAGACGGCUCCGCUGAUUUCAGAACUACGUUUCCCAGAAGUCCAAGCGAAGCCGUAGGUCUUGUUCCCUAGGCCUGACAGGCGAGGCGACCGUAAAACUCCCGGAAAGGGAAGGCUCCUGCGCACACUUCCGUUCUUACUUGCUCCACGUUAGGCGCGUUGCCAGUCUCCCCUGGCCCUAGGUGAUCCGAAAAAUUUGUUUCCAAAAGGGAGAGGGAAUGGUCCCUGUCAUCCAGCCAGCCACUUUUCAGAUUGUUAUCAAGACAGUUGGCGACCCAGAUGGGACCCGAGUGAGGGCCUCCAGCCCCCGGGACUGCUUCUCAGAAGAACUCUUCUCAAAAGACUGCCCCGGAGGACGGACUGCCCCUCGGGCCUAACCUAAAUUCUUCCGAGCCAAGGUAUGCUGUUAAGAUCACAAACCCAAUUAUCUACCAUUCAAAGGGCUGUCUCGUUCUGCAGUCUUAAGAACUGCUGCAGGUGGAUGAUUACCUUUGGGAGAAAGUUGAGGGGACAACCUUGCGAAGGUGAAGGUAGGAUCCUCUUGACUUGGUUUCCAAUUGAGCUACUUCCUUUCCAAACAGGAAAUUUUCCCACCUGGUUAAUUUUGAGCCUGCCUUUUGGUACCCUAUGAAUAAUGUGGAAUUUAACUAUUACCCUGACCUGGAAUCAAAAUAGAGCUAAGUAUUUUUUUUCCAUGUUAAUAGCUUCUCGAUACCAUCAUAACCAUGUCCCUUCUUUUCCUUUCAUAGCAAAUUUCUAUAAUAAGCACUCAGAAUGAAACCCUUCAGAUUGUAAAGUGGAACCACAUUCUAGAGAUGUAUGGCAGGUAAUUAGUUAUUAGUACUGAAACAUCUGAGUUAUAUGAAUAUGAAAGAUAUUCCAUGAUUUUCAUCUGGGUUGUAGUUAUGUUCUCAUAAGGGGGAAUGGGAGGGGGGGGAGAUGUGAUAGAUCUAUAUGACAAAGAUAGUUUUCGAAAUUGCAUUAAAAACUUCACGUAAAAUUGCAUUCGUAAAUUGUAUCAAUAAUUGUGAAGAGUAUAAUUAUUUUCCUAUUUGAAGUAUUUAUCUUGCAGUUUUAAGAGAAAGAUCUUAUUUUCCGAAUCAAGUCCUCAUGAGUCUUUGGAAGAUCAAGUGUAGGGCUUAAGUAAAGCUAGAAAACUGCGACUGAGAUUCUCUGAAGCUUCAGAGAAUUAGGAAUUCUUAAAUUGAUGUUCUUCUUAUAGCUCUGUUAAUGAAAUCAGAACCACAAGGUGUGAACGGGUUUUUACCAUAUAAACUAUUAUAGCACUAAAUUGCAUUGAGUUUGUAUUAAGUCUUCCUACAUGCUCUUGGAACUUGAGAAGCAGAUCUGGAAGGACGAGCGGCAUCUGUGGCUUCCGACAGCCUAACUGAAAGCACUUCACAAGUGGGGACUGCAGUACAACUUGCCCUUUGGACUUUUUCAUCUGCAUCAAGAAUUGCCGGCAAUCCAGCGGAACCACUUUGUCAGCUCCCUGGCUUCCCUCUCUCUUCCCCCUCCCACUCCCCCCAUGCGCCGCUGCCUCUGUACCAAAGGGGACUGCCCCCUGGGAAUUUUUGUCAAUGCAUCGGCCAUAGGCACUAAAGCUUUAAGCUGUAAAUCAGCCACUUUUUAGUUGUAACAGAUUUUUGCUAGAAUUCUAGCGCUGCUUUCAGUCUUGCACUGUUGCCCGUAGUUCUCUCUCAUGGACAACCGGGUAAUGAAUAAAGCUAUUACUGGACUUCAUGGUCAGGAUUCAUAAAAUCUGCUCCUUGGACCCCAUGAGUGUUGAAUUUGUCACUUAACUCCAGGAAAGGUCUCCCAAGUCAUGGUUGCCUAUUCCUGUCCAGCAUCCCUUUGUUCUUACUUGCUGCUAAUUCUUUGUGGAAUAAUGCCAAUUCUUGGGUUUCUUCGGUGUUUUCCUGACUGGGAGGAAGGGCAUACUAACCCCUGGCCUUCUGUAAAAUGUAUGGACUACUAAAGUGUUCAUACAAGGUAGCAUUGCAGAGACAAAGUUAGUCCAGGGGUUGAGGGUUUUUUUUUUUUUUUUCUGUAAUUAAUGCUUUCUAUUUUUCAUGUUUAUGUGAAGAUCCUUUCUCAGUCGGGUUUCACAUUACCUAUAGAGGCUCCCUGUUGCUAAGGGAUGCUGAUCACGUUUGAUGAUAUCAACAUAGUUUUUAGAUGGUGAGACACAUCUCCCAAAAAUCAAAGCAGGGAAUUGUGGAAUUGAAAAUUGAUACUACACUUUGUUUUGUAUUAUUUAUUAAGGCUUAAUCAGUAUAUGUUAAUGAUCAAGUUGCUGUGUAUCUUAUUGUCCUUUAGUAUGUGAACUUGAACUUUCAACAGACUCCCUUUUUUGAUAUGCCCACCUUCCAUCAACAAAGUAAUCUUUUUUUAUAUCGCUAACUAAGGAAUCUCAUUACUGUUUCCUUAUGCACACUUUAAAAACCACAAACACAAACAACUUGAUUUUGUCCUGUAAUCUGCCUAGUAACCAAGAAAACCCUGAAUUCUAGUUUCCCUUUUCUGGGUAAUUUUUCCCCAUUAAAUUUCGAUUCAAUCAUUAAUCAAUAGCAUACCCCCUCAGAAAGCAUCAACCAGACCACAAGAUGCCUGUUUUCACUUAGAAAGUGUCAACCGUGGUACUUUCUAGACGAUGUUGUUCCAAAUGAUAGACCACCUGGUGACUGAUAAAUUUAUGAUUAGUGACCUUAGUAACAACCAGUCAGAAAUGAGAUGUGCCUGUGUUGCCCAAGAUUGUGUAGGCUAAUUGAUUUCAUUAUACUGACUCUAAGAGAACUGCCUUGAUUGUCACAUGCAUUCUUGGCUACUGAGGAGCCUUGGAUUUUAUUUAUUGGCAAUUGCUAGCUUUGCUAAUAAAUUGAAUGUGCUCAGAA